UACGUAGGGUGCAAGCGUUAUCCGGAAUUAUUGGGCGUAAAGAGCUCGUAGGCGGUUUGUCGCGUCUGCUGUGAAAAUCCGGGGCUCAACCCCGGACUUGCAGUGGGUACGGGCAGACUAGAGUGUGGUAGGGGAGACUGGAAUUCCUGGUGUAGCGGUGAAAUGCGCAGAUAUCAGGAGGAACACCGAUGGCGAAGGCAGAUCUCUGGGCCGUAACUGACGCUGAGGAGCGAAAGCAUGGGGAGCGAACAGG
rnacentral:rRNA from 1 species